GUUUCUGUUGAGUUUUUUAGAUGUUCACUUUGUGAAACUAUUUUUAUAGACAGCAUUGAAGCUAACGUUGAGAGUACCAGCAUACACGUUGAAGAAGGAACACAGCAGCUGGCUAAGGCACGUCAACAUCAGGCUAAAGCUCGUAAGAAAAAGUGCUGUCUGCUAGUUUUUGGGUUGAUUAUCAUAGCAGUGGUGGUGAUCAUCAUAAUCUUUACAACCCAAAAAAGUUCAUGAAUAAAUGACAGACUAGUCUAGUGUAUGAUUGGAGCCCAUGAAUAAUCCUUUUGCUGUUGCUGAAACCGUGUAAUUCUGUGUUAGGUGCUGAAUUAUACAAGUUAGACAUAAUUCUACUCGUUCUUUGUUUUCCAAUGAAAUAAAAAA